AGUCGAGCGAACUGAUUAGAAGCUUGCUUCUAUGACGUUAGCGGCGGACGGGUGAGUAACACGUGGGCAACCUGCCUGUAAGACUGGGAUAACUUCGGGAAACCGAAGCUAAUACCGGAUAGGAUCUUCUCCUUCAUGGGAGAUGAUUGAAAGAUGGUUUCGGCUAUCACUUACAGAUGGGCCCGCGGUGCAUUAGCUAGUUGGUGAAGUAAUGGCUCACCAUGUCAGCGAUCCGUAGCCGACCUGAGAAGGUGAUCGGCCACACUGGAACUGAGACACGGUCCAGACUCCUACGGGAGGCAGCAGUAGGGAAUCUUCCGCAAUGGACGAAAGUCUGACGGAGCAACGCCGCGUGAGUGAUGAAGGCUUUCGGAUCGUAAAGCUCUGUUGUUAGGGAAGAACAAGUACACGAUUGAACUAGGCUGGUACCUUGACGGUACCUAACCAGAAAGCCACGGCUAACUACGUGCCAGCAGCCGCGGUAAUACGUAGGUGGCAAGCGUUGUCCGGAAUUAUUGGGCGUAAAGGGCUCGCAGGCGGUUUCUUAAGUCUGAUGUGAAAGCCCCCGGCUCAACCGGGGAGGGUCAUUGGAAACUGGGGAACUUGAGUGCAGAAGAGGAGAGUGGAAUUCCACGUGUAGCGGUGAAAUGCGUAGAGAUGUGGAGGAACACCAGUGGCGAAGGCGACUUCUUGGUCUGUAACUGACGCUGAGGAGCGAAAGCGUGGGGAGCGAACAGGAUUAGAUACCCUGGUAGUCCACGCCGUAAACGAUGAGUGCUAAGUGUUAGGGGGUUUCCGCCCCUUAGUGCUGCAGCUAACGCAUUAAGCACUCCGCCUGGGGAGUACGGUCGCAAGACUGAAACUCAAAGGAAUUGACGGGGGCCCGCACAAGCGGUGGAGCAUGUGGUUUAAUUCGAAGCAACGCGAAGAACCUUACCAGGUCUUGACAUCCUCUGACAAUCCUAGAGAUAGGACGUUCCCCUUCGGGGACAGAGUGACAGGUGGUGCAUGGUUGUCGUCAGCUCGUGUCGUGAGAUGUUGGGUUAAGUCCCGCAACGAGCGCAACCCUUGAUCUUAGUUGCCAGCAUUCAGUUGGGCACUCUAAGGUGACUGCCGGUGACAAACCGGAGGAAGGUGGGGAUGACGUCAAAUCAUCAUGCCCCUUAUGACCUGGGCUACACACGUGCUACAAUGGACAGAACAAAGGGCAGCGAAACCGCGAGGUUAAGCCAAUCCCACAAAUCUGUUCUCAGUUCGGAUCGCAGUCUGCAACUCGACUGCGUGAAGCUGGAAUCGCUAGUAAUCGCGGAUCAGCAUGCCGCGGUGAAUACGUUCCCGGGCCUUGUACACACCGCCCGUCACACCACGAGAGUUUGUAACACCCGAAGUCGGUGAGGUAACCUUUUAGGAGCCAGCCGCCGAA
rnacentral:rRNA from 1 species